rnacentral:rRNA from 1 species
AGAAUCAACGCUGGCGGCGUGCCUAACACAUGCAAGUCGAACGAGAAAGUGGGAGCAAUCCCACGAGUAAAGUGGCGCACGGGUGAGUAACACGUGACUAACCUACCCUUGAGUGGGGAUAACCUAGGGAACCUGGGCUAAUACCGCAUAAUACCUACGGGUCAAAGGAGCAAUUCGCUUUAGGGAGGGGUCGCGGCAGAUUUAGUUAGUUGGCGGGGUAAUGGCCCACCAAGACAGUGAUCUGUA